CGCGAACGCUGGCGGCAGGCCUAACACAUGCAAGUCGAGCGGCCGUAGCAAUACGGCAGCGGCAGACGGGAUAGUAACACGUGGGAACGCGCCCUUCGGUUCGGAAUAACUCAGGGAAACUUGAGCUAAUACCGGAUACGCCUUACGGGAAAGAUUUAUUGCCGAAGGAACGGCCCGCGUCCGAUUAGCUAGUUGGUGAGGUAAUGGCUCACCAAGGCAACGAUCGGUAGCUGGCUGAGAGGAUGACCAGCAUCACUGGGACUGAGACACGGCCCAGACUCCUACGGGAGGCAGCAGUGGGGAAUAUUGGACAAUGGGCGCAAGCCUGAUCCAGCCAUGCCGCGUGGAUGAUGAAGG
rnacentral:rRNA from 1 species